GGGGCGGAUGUAGCCAAGUGGAUUAAGGC
rnacentral:tRNA from 1 species